rnacentral:rRNA from 1 species
CAAAAUAAGUGAUAUAGAGNAAAACCCUAAAAAGCAACCUCAGUUCGGAUUGAAGGCUGAAAUUCGCCUUCAUGAAGCUGGAAUUGCUAGUAAUGGCAGGUCAGCAUACUGCCGUGAAUACGUUCCCGGGCCCUGUACACACCGCCCGCCACACCAUGAGAGUUGGGAAUACCCGAAGCCUGUGAGCCAACUUAUAGAGGCAGCAGUCGAAGGUAGAAUCAAUGAUUGGGGUGAAGUCGUAACAAGGUAUC